UGGGGAAUCUUGGACAAUGGGGGCAACCCUGAUCCAGCCAUGCCGCGUGAGCGAUGAAGGCCCUAGGGUUGUAAAGCUCUUUCACCCGUGAAGAUAAUGACGGUAGCGGGAGAAGAAGCCCCGGCUAACUCCGUGCCAGCAGCCGCGGUAAUACGGAGGGGGCUAGCGUUGUUCGGAAUUACUGGGCGUAAAGCGCGCGUAGGCGGGCUGUUAAGUCGGGGGUGAAAUCCCGGGGCUCAACCCCGGAACUGCCUCCGAUACUGGCAGCCUAGAGGACGGAAGAGGCGAGUGGAAUGCCGAGUGUAGAGGUGAAAUUCGUAGAUAUUCGGCGGAACACCGGUGGCGAAGGCGGCUCGCUGGUCCGUUUCUGACGCUGAGGUGCGAAAGCGUGGGGAGCAAACA
rnacentral:rRNA from 1 species